UCCUGAGAGACAACAACACUGAAGAAGUUUUGGAAGAAGUUCUCAGAGAGAUAAGAAGAAUAUUAUGAGAGAAAAUCAUCCCACCAUUAAGGAAAGUUAUCCUACCAAUAAAGGAAAAAACAACUUGGCCACUUAUUAAGGAUAAAACAAAGUCAUCCUGCCCUUGCUUCUGAAUCAUAUGUGUCCUCGCCAACACCUGAGGCAGUGAAAAAAGAUGAAGAAAUGACAGUAUCUGGUCUCAGUGUUUCUCACUACAUUGUUGUACAGAUAUUUAGUAUCUCAGAUACAGCAUUAACUCUUCAUCGUCCUUGUGCUGCUUUGAUAACAGCUGUGCUCGGAAACCCCACCAACGUGCCUGUUAUGUUGGGAGCUAAAGUCACAAGGGCUUGUGGAGAGAAGGACACCCCCCCCCAGGCUGUCUCCCCAAAAACCAGUUACUAUAGCCUAAGAGGGCACAAUUGUGACUGCAUCAACCAACCGCAGAACAGCACAAACAGUGCUGUGUAACUUUUAAGACUAAGUUAGAGAGACAGUAUCAUUCCAGCUUGCACUGGGUUGAAGAGUGCUGCACAA